UCUGAAAAUAAAGAAGCUCAGGGACCAAUUGGCCAAGGAGGAGCAAGUCAUGCUAGGUAGCUCCCGAAUUGAUGAACAGCAAGAUGGUUGCAUGGAGUGCACUGGACUGUUUUUAUACUUUUCAUAACCUCGAGCCCAUUCAAAUUCAUGGAUGAUCAUCUCAAGAUAGAACCGGUGACUGAGCAUCGAAAGAAAAUUGACUUCUUCAGACAGCUAAGAAAUCAAUCUCAAAUUGCCGCCAAGAGACGAGCGCAGUAGCUGAUUCAGCUGCUGGUCUCUGAAGCUAACAUUGGUGUUUGACAUGUGCAUUAUGUUGCUACAUCCAGCCAGAUCCACCAAAUUGAAAAC